GCAUAAUAAAUAGUUUUUUAAUUGGGAACUGGAAUGAAUGGUAGUAACUAAAAAGAAGGUUUUGUUUAAUAAAGUUUGAAUUUAAAUUAAAAGUAAAAAUGCUUUUGUUAAUUUUUGGGACGAGAAGACCCUAGAAGCUUAAAAAUUAUGUAUUUUUUAAUUGGGGCAAUUUUUGAAGAGAAAAAUUUUUAUAGAAUAAAUUAAAAAAAAAAGGAAGUUACUCUAGGGAUAACAGCGUAAUUUAGUUAGCAAGUUCUUAUUAAUAAUUAGGUUUGCGACCUCGAUGUUGAAUUAAUA
rnacentral:rRNA from 1 species